rnacentral:rRNA from 1 species
UACGUAGGGUGCGAGCGUUGUCCGGAAUUAUUGGGCGUAAAGAGCUCGUAGGCGGUGUGUCGCGUCGGCCGUGAAAACCUGCAGCUUAACUGUGGGCGUGCGGUCGAUACGGGCAUCACUGGAGUUCGGCAGGGGAGACUGGAAUUCCUGGUGUAGCGGUGAAAUGCGCAGAUAUCAGGAGGAACACCGGUGGCGAAGGCGGCAUCCUGGACCGAGAUUGACACUGAUGAGCGAAAGCCAGGGGAGCAAACGGG